ACUGGGCAUGGGAGGAAUCCCCUGGGUUAUAAUGUCUGAGGUAUUUCCUAUAAACAUGAAGGGCUCAGCUGGAAGUCUUGUGACAGUAGUUAAUUGGUUAGGUUCUUGGAUUAUUUCCUAUGCUUUUAACUUCAUAAUGGAUUGGAGUUCAUCAGGAACAUUCUUCAUAUUCGCAAGUAUAUGUGGCGUAACCGUUUUGUUUGUUUCGAAGCUGGUACCAGAGACCAAGGGACGAACAUUGGAAGAAAUACAAGCAUCCAUGAAUCCAUUUACAGCAAACUGAUGAAUUUGGCAUCUUCACCUUGCAUUCAUUUUGUGUUUUCAUGGAUUCCAACGAGCCCGAUGGUACUGUAACUCGUGCAAACCUCUGAUGGAAAAUUUACCUGGAUGUUUUAGUACUGAGUAUGCACAAACGUAUUGGUCUGUGAUAAACAAGCU
rnacentral:misc_RNA from 1 species